UCUCGGCUUAUCACCGGCAGUCCCCUUAGAGUGCCCAACUGAAUGCUGGCAACUAAGGGCGAGGGUUGCGCUCGUUGCGGGACUUAACCCAACAUCUCACGACACGAGCUGACGACAGCCAUGCAGCACCUCGACUCAAGUCUCUUGCGAGAAGUCUCUGUUUCCAAAGAUGAUCUUAAGCCGUUCGAGCCCAGGUAAGGUUCUUCGCGUUGCGUCGAAUUGAACCACAUGCUCCACCGCUUGUGCGGGCCCCCGUCAAUUCCUUUGAGUUUCAGUCUUGCGACCGUACUCCCCAGGCGAAUGACUUAACGCGUUGGCUCCGGCACAUCGGGACUAAAAACCCGACACACCAAGUCAUCAUCGUUUAAGGCUAGGACUAC
rnacentral:misc_RNA from 1 species